GGGGAGAAAGGGCUUUAUUUCAGCUUACAGGCAACAGUGCCUCAUUAACAGAAGCCAGGGCAGGAUUUGAAUAAGAAACCGGAUGCUUGCUGGCUCACUCACAGGGUUAUACUUAGCUAUCCUUCUUAUAGAGACCAGCACCUAGGGAAUGGUGCCACCCACAGGGGACUGGGCCUUCCAAUAUCAACUGGCAAUGCACUUCCUUACAGUCAUGUCUAUGGAACAAUCUAACCUGGGCAGUUGAUCAAUUGAGACUCUCUUCUCCUUGUGGAUCCAGCUUUAGUGGAACUGACCCCUUCUAGAUAUGGCUCCUCUCUGGUCUUCUUAGCCCCGGAUGGUUGCUAGGCAACCCUAUUAAGUUCCCCAGCUGAGAUUACUUCAGUAACCAAGUCACUGUAUGGAACUACCUUGGUCUGGCAUCCUCAUCCCUACUUCCUCACUUGCCCCGACUCCUAUGGAUCUUGUUAGCUGAAGACGGAGAGAAGCAUUGUCCUAAACCUGCAGUCGCCUUGGAUUUUUGGAAGUACAAAACCUGGAAGGUCAGGGUACCCCCAGAUGACAGUGAUUACCCAUGAGGGCCAAGCUGCAUUCUGAAGCGGAAGUGACCCUCUCACAGGAGCCAGAUUGACUCACCGUAGCAUCUUGAGGCCAUCACACUGGACCAAAGGUGAGGUGAUGAUCAAGGAGAUGACAUCUGGACCAGGACUUCUUCAUGAUGCCAACAUCUUGCUCCUUGCCCCAACUCAAAUCUAAAGCUAUUAUCAGCAUCUUGAUCUUCUAAAAUCUUGGGGUCACUGAGCCCCUUUAUCUGUUCCUCUUCUCUAUUUGGACACUUGGAAUAAAUCUCUCUCUCUGGUUUUUACUGCU
rnacentral:lncRNA from 1 species